UCCUGGUAUCUUAGGUUUCCGAGAAGAUUCUGAACAACAAAGAGCUGGAGUUCUACAAGUGGGAGGGCAAUCUCUCCCAGCUGCUGCAGAACGUCCGCAACAAGCUUAACCAAGUCGCUUCGAGCUGGUCUCGGGAGGAGAAGGACCACUGCCUGGAGGAGAUGGAGAAGUCGUUCUCUUACUCAGGAGGCCUCCUCCGCCAUAUAUUCACAUGAUCUAUCAUUGCCGGUUGAUCCAGUCUCAAACGCUGUAAAUACAUAGUCCUCUUGACUGUUAAAACUUUAUUACUCGUGAGGGGGAUCUCCUCCCCCAGGUACGGUUUACCUGCAUUCAAGUUGCCCAGUGUCUUACUUGAUUUCUGGUGUUUGGUGUUUCUGUGAUGCAAUCUGUAUUCUGUAGGUCGUUUCAUGACUAAUAGAGUCGACCCCUUCCAAUGUCGU